GAUUUGAGGUUUUUCUGUACUUUUAAUGAGCUAGAAAAUGCAUACUAUAAAUAGAAUAUACAAAUGAUUUUACACAAAUGAAGCAUUAAAAAUCACAAAUCUUAUAUUUGGUUAUCCACAGUCUAUAAAAUAAUGUUCCCAAAUUAUAUAGUUUAAAAUACACAAUGUUUCAAGUUGCAAGACAAAACCAGGGUAGUUUUGGCCCUAAAUCAUAGCUAACAUAAGUAGGAAUUAUAAUUAAUUUUAUAAUUGUGUUUAAAUUUUAAAUACUCUAGAAUCUGAAAAUAUUAAAUAUUAAAUAGAUGGAGGGAUCAAAUUAUCAAGUUUUUUAACAAAAUUGAGGUAAAAAUCUGCAUUAAAUUACACCAAGAAAAACAUUUCUAAAACAUUGUUUCCAUAACUCAUUAUAAAUAUUUCAUCUUCCGAAAGUACUCUUUGAUUACCUCUGGCCUUCUGGGUCUGGUAAUUAAGUUGACUUAAUAUUUGCACAUAGCUACUGAUUACUCAAUACAGGCCUAUCAGAUAAAACUAAAAUGCUGCAACUUAAUCAGAAUGAUGCAAUCUUGUCUUAUAUAAAUAUACAAAUCACAGUAUGCUGACACUAGAUAACUUCAGCUUUAUUUGCCAAAGGGGAUUUAGAAUAUACUACAAAAUUGUAUAUAAAAUAACCCUUUACAAGGAUUUACUAGGAUGACUGCAAAGAAAGGCAAAUUAAAUAUACCUGGUCCCAUAUAAGAAUUGUUGCCUAACCUCAUAUACUAAUUUGAAUAUGAAGACUCACUUUUUAUUUCUUAUUUUUUUGAAACAGGGUCUCGCUCUGUCACCCAGGCUGGAGUGCAGUGGUGUGAUCUCAGCUCACUGCAACCUCUGCCUCUUGGGUUCAAGCGAUUCUCCUACCUCAGCCUCACAAGUAGCUGGGACUACAGGCGUGCACCACCAUGCCUGGCUAAUUUUUUGUAUUUUUAGUAGAGAAGGGGUUUCUCCAUGUUGGUCACACUGGUUUUGAACUCCUAAUCUCAGGUGAUCCACCCGCCUCGGACUCCCAAAGUGCUGGGAUUACAGGUGUGAGCCACCGCACCUGGCCUGAAUAUAAAGACUCAUUUUAAAUUAUACUAGUUGAACCUUUAUACUACAAUGUAUCCUGGCACUUAUUUUUUUUAAACCAUUAUCAGAUAUUUCAUGUUCUACUAGUAAAGGGAAUUCGCAUUUUCAAUGUCCUGUCUGCAUUCCUCCUAGCCUCUCUCUGCUCAGGUUUUGGAAAAUAGAUCUUUCAAAUGCAAUUGCAGUAUCCAAGGAAAUUCCUCCCACCCAUGCCACCAGUGCUCAUCCUGUGGGCACCCCACAGUCAGCAGUUUAAGACCAUUCUGGAUGAAUGCAAAUGCUUGAUUCAAUUUUCCCAAAUCCCAAUCAACUAGCUACAGUUUUUAUUGUAUGCAAUCUUCCCAACAUUGCAGUAAAGCAGUCUAGAUGGCUGGGGAAAGGUAAAAGAACCCCGGUUGUGAUUAUUUUUUUCUAACAAAAUGGAAUUAAAAGAUGAGAAAACCUCGUAGUAUUUUAGUCUGGUACUUUUAGCAUCCCCAACUUUUAAGAUUAUAAAUUCACAAUAGUGAACACCCUAGUGACAACUUUUAAAUAAAAUACUGGAUAGCUGGGCGCAGUGGCUCACACCCGUAAUCCCAGCACUUUGGGAGGCCGAGGCGUGUAGAUCACUUGAGGUCAAGAGUUCAAGACCAACCUGGCCAACAUGGUAAAACCUCCUCUCUACUAUAAAUACAAAAAAUUAGCUGGGCGUGGUGGUGCAUGUCUGUAAUCCCAGCUAUUCGGGAGGCUGAGGCAGGAGAAUCACUUGAACCCAGGAGGCAGAGGUUAGAGUGAGCCGAGAUCGUGCCACUGCACUUCAGCCUGGGCAAUGGAGUGAGACUCUGUCUCAAAAAAAAUAAAAAAUAAAAAAUAAAAUACUGCAUAAUUACAUGCUAUAGUAAAUUAAUCAUACACUCAAAAUUUUAGCUUGGAUUUGUUUUGCAACUGAUUUGAUGCUGUCUGAAAAUCAAGAUCAAGCAGGUGAUGAAAACUAUACCUUUUGAACAUGCAUUAGGUAACCAGGGGGCAACAGAGUAGGGACUAAUAAGGCCAGCAACUCAGGGAAAUUAGCCUAUUCAUCUGAUAUAUUUGGCCUCCAUAAAACUGCCAUGGAUUCCAACUGUACUCAAAUAUAAUACAACUUCUUCAAUGCUGCUUUAUAAAUCUGACUGAAAACCUUAUUUAAGGAGUCAAGAUGCUGAACACCCUAACAAAAGCAAAAACAAAAUUACGGCCUAUGUGGUGUUUGGCAUUGUCUCUGGAACUACAAAAUUAAACUUUUAGAAUCACAGCAUUUUACACCUGAGAGGAAUCUUAAAAGAUACUGAAUUUCGCUUCUCACUUUAUAGCUGAGAAGAGUGAGGGAAGGACGGACCAUGGGAGUCAGCAUUUUUCAAGCAUCCAGGCACGCUGGGCCUGGUAUUUCAAUUAGAGUUUCUCAUUCUCACAGUCUCAGGCAGGUUGCAUUAACCUCCACUUCACAGCUAAGUAAAUGCGGAUCUACCAGAUUGAAUAAUCUCCCCCAAAUAAAUUCACUAAUGAGGAACAGAAGGAAUCCAACGUCAGAGUUAGUGCUCUUCUCAGAGUAAUAAUCUGCAAAGUGUGGUCCUGGGACCAGCAGCUGGGGCAUUACCUGGACGCUUGUUAGAAAGGCAAAUUACCAGGCCCACCAUCCCCACCGCCAGACCUACUGAAUCAGAAACUCUAGGGUGGCCCCCAGCAAUCAAGUUUUUGGUUUUGUUUUUUUAACAGACAGGGUCUCACUUUGCUGCCCAGGCUGGACUGCAGUGGCCCAAUAAUAACUCACUGCAGCCUCGAACUCCUGGGUUCAAGUGAUCCUCCUGCCUCAGACUCCCAAGCAGCUCAGACUACAGGUAUGCACUACCAUGCCUGUUUGUUUUUUGUUUUUGUUUUUGUAGAGACAGGGGUCUUGCUGUAUUGCCCAGCCUGAUCUUGAACUCCUGGGCUCACGUGAUCCUCCUGCCUCAGUCUCCCAAAGCACUGGAAUUACAGGCAUGAGCCUGUGUUCUCCCCUCUCUUCCAAUAAUGUGUAUUCAACAAGGCCUUCAGGUGAUGCUGAUGCUGUCUGAAAGCCACUGCUCUCCAGCAUGUGGUCUCUGAAACUUUACUUAGGAGUAUGCAUAUUAAAAUAUAUAUAUAACUUAACACUAUGCUACUACAAAGGGCAAAAUAAUUCACUUUAUUGUACUUUAUUUUAGAAUAAUUAAGACAAGGAUAGGCUUCAAUGAAAUUUUGCUUUGAUGUUACAUGGUCUGACUGACACUGGAUUUCUUCAUAAGAAAAAUAAAUGUGAAAGCUAUUCCAAGUAAGCAAAUGGUGGCAAAAACAAUCUAAAGAAUUGGUUUUAGCCAGGCAUGGUGGCUCAUGCCUGUAAUCCCAGCACUUUGGGAGGCCAGGGCGGGCAGAUUACUUGAGCUCAGGAGUUCAAGAGCAGCCUGGCCAACAUGGUGAAACCCCAUCUCUACUAAAAACACAAAAAUUAGGCAAUAUAGCAAGACCCCAUCUCUACCAAAAAUACAAAAAAACUAAUCAGGAAUGGGGGCACAUGCCAGUAGUCCCAACUACUCAGGAGACUGAGGUGGGAGGAUGGCUUGAGCUUGGGAGGUUGCAGUGAGCCAAGAUCCUGCCACUGCACUCCAGCCUGGGUGACAGAGUGAGACCCCAUCUCAAAAAAAAAAAAAGAAUUUCAUCUCAUGUCAAAAAUAAGACUCUUGGACAGAAAUCUUCUGCCUGCCUUCCAAGGACCCACUGAAAUUAAUGGAUACUCUCACAUGACUGACUUUAUUAUUAAAUACUUGCUGUAAUCACAACUAGGCAUAGGAAAAUCAAGUAGAGAAAUACUGAAUGCCUAGCAUACAACGAUCUAAGUGAAAGUUAAUAAAAGUAGCUCUUCAGAAAGACAUCUCAUGUAAAAUUAAAUUUAAAACUAAAAAUUUCAUGAAGUGACCUGUUAAGAGUUUCAAUUUAGAAGCUUUACUUUUCUAAUUUUAAAAUAUCAUGAAUGAAAUGGUGUCUUCAUCUAGGUGCUUCUCCAUCAAAAUCCCUAGCUCAAAAAUAAAAAUCAUGUUUGUGUCACCCCAGAUUCAAAAUGCUGUUAUUGGAAAUGUUACCAUUUCACAUGAACAUUCCAGUAAAUAUGCACAUAGAGGGUACUCAUUACUUUUGGUUGGUAAUUUUUCCUUAAAUAUAUUUCAAUGAUUUCAUUGUUUGACAUUUUCAUAGUUAACGUAUACUGAAUACAGAAAAUUUUGUAGGAAAACACUAUUUUUUAAAUGUAGUAACAUUAAAAUAUUAAAAUAUCCCGUUUAUUAAAGGCUCUUAAGAUUUAAAGAAAAAUUUCCUGUGCACAUACAAUGUACCUAUGAAAUACUGUAUUAUUAGUUAUUGUACAGGCAAAUGAGGCUGUUACUAUAAAAAAAAUGUGGUGUCUAAAAAUUGCAAGUCUAUGUGAAAAAUCAACCUCAAUUUAUCUAAAUGGGAUUUGGGGGACACGGCAGACUAUUAAAAUAGAACUCAAACUUCAAAUUCUGUAAACUGAACAUCUCAUUAAUGCCACUUCACCAUUUAAAAAAGUCAGCACACAAUGUUAGCUAUGUAAGUUUAUCUGCAGAUGUUACAGGUAAUUAUUUCUGUUAACUCCUCCUAAAAUAUUAUUUAGUAAUAAAGAAUAUUUCAAAAGGAGAGUAGGUAGAAACGAAGAUCAUAACUAUACUUACUUAAUAUGAAAAUGACAUUUCAUUUAUUUGCUAAUAUGUGGAAAAAAAUUUUCUAAUUAAUUCCUCCUUUAUCCUUCUUUAAAAACAUUUUAUUUCUUCAACCAGCACACUGAGGAUUAGUGCUAUGGGUAUUACCACAGUGCCCUGUGAAAAGACUUGGCUUCCAGAGAAGUCAUACCUUGCAUACCCUGGAGUCAUACCUCAAAUUGGCUCUGCAUGAUUGAUUUUACAGCGGGCAUUAAAAUUCUUCUGAAACAAGGCUGUGUACCUUUGAGAACAUUCACAUUUAACCUUGUGAGCUCACUUCUACAAGAACAAUGAACUUAUUUGUCAGCUGCCAGGGGGAAAAUCAGCUUAAUGUAAAGAAUUAAUUAAAUCAGGUUGACAGAAGCCAAUAUCUCAAUGUUUUUAAAUUAAAAUUUAUUUAAAGGAAUAAGUAUGGGUGCAUUACAUAAACCUAAUGGUUCUUCUAAGCUUCAAAAAGCAUUCAUUUCAAAAGUAUUCACUUUUUUUUUUUUUGAGACGGAGUCUCGCUGUCGCCCAGGCUGGAGUGCAGGGGCACGAUCUCGGCUCACUGCAGGCUCCGCCUCCCGGGUUCACGCCAUUCUGCUGCCUCAGCCUCCCGAGCAGCUGGGACUACAGGCGCCGCCACCACGCCCGGCUAAUUCUUUGUAUUUUUAGUAGAGACGGGGUUUCACUGUGUUAACCAGGAUGGUCUCGAUCUCCUGACCUCGUGAUCCGCCCGCCUCGGCCUCCCAAAGUGCUGGGACUACAGGCGUGAGCCACCACGCCCGGCCCAAAAGCAUUUACUGUUAAGGCUGCCUCAUUUUUCAGCUUUGUUGUAGUUGAGAUUCUGAUGUUCACCUAACAAAGUCCCUGACAAAACAGACUUCCUUCAAUCCAGGUCAUAAUUUGAAACGUUAUACAAUAAUGAGAUUUAAGUGAUGAAUGGAAAGAAAAGAAGGAGACUGAAAAGAUAUCAGAAAUUUCUAUUUGUUUUUAGAUUCAGAAAAAUAUAAUUACAGGCCAACAUGGGUCUGACAGAGAGGAAGGACGUCAGCAGUUAC
rnacentral:lncRNA from 1 species